GACGAGCCACACGAACGUUAUUCGGAAUUACUGGGCUUAAAGGGUGCGUAGGCGGUGCGGAAAGUUGGGUGUGAAAUCCCUCGGCUCAACCGAGGAACUGCGCUCAAAACUACCGUACUUGAGGAAGAUAGAGGUGAGCGGAACUUACGGUGGAGCGGUGAAAUGCGUUGAUAUCGUAAGGAACACCCGUGGCGAAGGCAGCUCGCUGGGACGUUACUGACGCUGAGACGCGAAAGCGUGGGGAGCAAACAGG
rnacentral:rRNA from 1 species